AGUGAACGCUGGCGGUAGGCCUAACACAUGCAAGUCGAACGGCAGCACAGUAAGAGCUUGCUCUUACGGGUGGCGAGUGGCAGACGGGUGAGGAAUACAUCGGAAUCUACUUUUUCGUGGGGGAUAACGUAGGGAAACUUACGCUAAUACCGCAUACGACCUACGGGUGAAAGCAGGGGAUCUUCGGACCUUGCGCGAUUGAAUGAGCCGAUGUCGGAUUAGCUAGUUGGCGGGGUAAAGGCCCACCAAGGCGACGAUCCGUAGCUGGUCUGAGAGGAUGAUCAGCCACACUGGAACUGAGACACGGUCCAGACUCCUAAGGGAGGCAGCAGUGGGGAAUAUUGGACAAUGGGCGCAAGCCUGAUCCAGCCAUACCGCGUGGGUGAAGAAGGCCUUCGGGUUGUAAAGCCCUUUUGUUGGGAAAGAAAAGCAGCAGGUUAAUACCCCGCUGUUCUGACGGUACCCAAAGAAUAAGCACCGGCUAACUUCGUG
rnacentral:rRNA from 1 species